AUUGAACGCUGGCGGCAGGCCUAACACAUGCAAGUCGAACGAGUGGCGGACGGGUGAGUAAUGUCUGGGAAACUGCCCGAUGGAGGGGGAUAACUACUGGAAACAGUAGCUAAUACCGCAUACCAUCGGAUGUGCCCAGAUGGGAUUAGCUAGUAGGUGGGUUAACGGCUCCCCUAGGCGACGAUCCCUAGCUGGUCUGAUAGGAUGACGAGCCACAGUGGAAGGGAGACGCGGUCCAGACUCCUACGAGAGGCAGCAGUGGGGAAUAUUGCACAAUGGGGGCGAGCGUGAUGCAGCCAUGCCGCGUGAAUGAAGAAGGCCUGCGGGUUGUAAAGUACUUUCAGCGAGGAGGCGUUACUCGCAGAAGAAGCACCGGCUAACUCCGUGCCAGCCGCCGCGGUAAUAC
rnacentral:rRNA from 1 species